GACGAACGCUGGCGGCGUGCUUAACACAUGCAAGUUGAACGGGGCAUAUUUGAAGGGUAACCGGAGGGUAUGUCUAGUGGCGAACGGGUGAGUAAUGCAUGAGAACGUAUCCUCAAGAGGGGGACAACAUUGGGAAACCGAUGCUAAUACCCCAUAAGCCGGGAGGUAAAAGGAGCAAUCCGCUUGAGGAGCGGUUCAUGUCCUAUCAGCUGGUUGGUGAGGUAACGGCUCACCAAGGCGAAGACGGGUAGCCGGCCUGAGAGGGUGAACGGCCACACUGGAACUGAGAGACGGUCCAGACUCCUACGGGAGGCAGCAGUGGGGAAUAUUGGGCAAUGGGGGAAACCCUGACCCAGCGACGCCGCGUGAGGGAAGAAGGCCUUAGGGUCGUAAACCUCUGUUGUGUGGGAAGAAGAGCGUGACGGUACCACACGAGGAAGUCCCGGCUAACUACGUGCCAGCAGCCGCGGUAAUACGUAGGGGACGAGCGUUGUCCGGAUUUACUGGGCGUAAAGGGCGCGUAGGCGGUCAUUUAAGUCAGCUGUGAAAUGGUUUGGCUUAACCGGAUCAUGCGGUUGAAACUGGAUGACUGGAGUGCUGGAGAGGCAAGUGGAAUUCCCAGUGUAGCGGUGAAAUGCGUAGAUAUUGGGAAGAACACCGGUGGCGAAGGCGACUUGCUGGCCAGCAACUGACGCUGAGGCGCGAAAGCCAGGGGAGCAAACGGGAUUAGAUACCCCGGUAGUCCUGGCUGUAAACGAUGAAUGCUAGGUGUGGGCAUCGAGAGGUGUCCGUGCCGGAGCUAACGCGAUAAGCAUUCCGCCAGGGGAGUACGAUCGCAAGAUUG
rnacentral:rRNA from 1 species